rnacentral:pre_miRNA from 1 species
GUAUCCGUGGUGUUCAGCACCAGGGACAGGUGUGUUUACCUGAGUAUCUGUGGUGUUCAGCACCAGGGACAGGUGUGUUUACCU